rnacentral:rRNA from 1 species
CUGGGAUUAGAUACCCUGUUAUUAAAAUUAAAUUAUUAUUUUUAUAAGUAAUAUAUUGAUAAAUUGAAAUUUAAAAAAUUUGGCAGUAUUUUAAUCUUUUCAGAGGAAUUUGUUUUUUAAUUGAUAUUACUCAUUAAAUUUUACUUAAUUUAUUAAUUUGUAUAUCGUUGUCAUAAGAAAAUUUUUAAAAGAGGCUUAAUUUUCUAAAUUUAAAAAUUUAAUUUAUGUCAGAUCAAGGUGCAGUUUAUAAUUAAGAAAAAAUUAAUUACAAUAAAUUUAUUUAAAUGAAUAAUUUAAUAUUAAUAUUUAUUUGAAGGUGGAUUUGAAAGUAAAUUUUAUUUAUAAAUAUAAUUUUGAUUUAAGUUUUAAAAUAUGUACAAAUCGCCCG